rnacentral:rRNA from 1 species
CCUACGGGAGGCUGCAGUGAGGAAUAUUGGUCAAUGGGCGCGAGCCUGAACCAGCCAUGUCGCGUGAAGGAUGACUGCCCUACGGGUUGUAAACUUCUUUUAUACCGGAAUAAAGUGAGGCACGUGUGCCUUUUUGUAUGUACUUUACGAAUAAGGAUCGGCUAACUCCGUGCCAGCAGCCGCGGUAAUACGGAGGAUCCGAGCGUUAUCCGGAUUUAUUGGGUUUAAAGGGAGCGUAGGUGGGUUGUUAAGUCAGUUGUGAAAUGUUGCGGCUCAACCGUAAAAUUGCAAUUGAUACUGUCGGACUAGAGUACAGAUGAGGUAGGCGGAAUGCGUGGUGUAGCGGUGAAAUGCUUAGAUAUCACGAAGAACUCCGAUUGCGAAGGCAGCUUACUAGACUGCCACUGACAUUGAUGCACGAAAGUGUGGGGAUCAAACAGGAUUAGAUACCCCGGUAGUC